rnacentral:rRNA from 1 species
GAUGAACGCUGGCGGCGUGCCUAACACAUGCAAGUCGAACGGACAGACGGGAAGCUUGUUCCUUUACCGUUAGCGGCGGGCGGGCGAGUAACACGUGCAUCACCAUCCUCUUUUUCGGGGAUGAUUUCGGGAGACCGGCUCCAAUACUAGCUCAUACAUUCUACGGCAUGGUUCAGUAGAGCUUGACGGUUUUGGCGUCAGUUAGAGCCGGAUCCGCGCCGCAUUGGUUAGUUGGUAAGGUAACGGCUUACCAAGGCAACGAAGCGUAGCUGACCUGAGAGGGUGAUCGGCCACACUGGAACUGAGACACGGUCCAGACUCCUACGGGAGGCAGCAGUAGGGAAUAUUGCACAAUGGGCGCAAGCCUGACAGAGCAACGCCGCGUGAGUGAAGAAGGUCUUCGGGUCGUAAAGCUCUUUUGUUAGGGAAGAACAAAUGCAGAUGAAACCAGCCACGUCUUGACGGUACCUAAAGAAAAAGCACCGGCUAACUACGUG